CCAAAGUGACCAAACCUCCCAGAAGGGUAAAGGUUAAACAAGGAACCCCUGUACGUUCGAAUAAAGCCGUAAGAUUUUCAUGGUUUGGAGAGUGUGCAAAGGCGUCAAGAACAGAGAGUAGAUUCAAAAUAUAGUGGGGAAUGAGACAGGAACACAAAGUUCAAGAAUCAUGAGAUCCCGUCUUCAAUUCUGUACACUUGCUGCUGCUUAUUUCCUCAUUUCCACCAUUUUUUUAUAGUAUGAGAUAUGAUGUAAAGCUUUUUGACAAGCUGGGCAUAUGAAUAUUUUUUGGUCCAGCCAAUUUUUAGUGAUCAAUAAAAGUAAAAGGGGGACAAAAAAAAUUUUUUUUUUUUGGGCA